rnacentral:lncRNA from 1 species
GCCUCUAUUCCAUUACAUUCAACCAAACAGUUGAUUUGAUAUUACACCUCUAUUCCAUUACACCUCUAAUCCAAUAAACCUCUAAUCCAAUACAGCGAACCAAACGUACCCUAAAAAUUUGAGCUAAAAUUUCAAAUUCACUAGAAUUUUGAACACUUACAGAUAUGAAACGUCAGUUUCGCGAAGCAGAUCAGCAAUUCGACUAGCCUGAGCUUAUUAAUUUGCUGUCGGUUCAAAGACCUGGAAGCUCCAACAGCUGGGUCGUCAAACAGCCGGAGCUCCAGAUUCGAAGCACCACAGAAAACAGGCAACGAAGGAAGCGGCAAGCACUGCGCCACCUCGGAUUGGAUGGUGUGUGGUUUGCAUAAAAAACCACCAUUAGUAGAAUAUAAUGUUAGCUUCACGGAAGUUAUUGCAUAAAAAAAAUUAUCUUAUAUGCCAAAUACAAGAAAAAUGAAAGUUUUUUAAAACUAAAUAUAUUAAAUUGAAAUUCGGUUCACAGCUCUAAUCAUCUGUUAACAAUUUAUUAACAAGUUGAAAUCUUUUUAAACUAUAGAGAACGGAGACAGAGAGAGAAAACCUGUAGUUCAAAACCAGUAUAUAAAAAGAGCAGGAAGGAACUCAACAUAGCUAAUUUGAGACAAGUGAGUUGACUUCAUGACAAAACAAAAAAGAAAACAACGAAAAAAUCGAAUUAUAACGCCCAGUCCUUUUACAUUUUCUAGCCAACCAGACAGAUCAAAAUGUACAAAAUCUAACAACCACCCCAAAAGCCGCAAUUACAUUACCGAAAAUUUAAAAUAUUUUUAUAAGAAAUAAAAUUUAAAAAUCAGGGAAAGAAGGGGAGGAAAGCCAACGAGAAAAAAGAGAGAUAGGAAAAACAACCAGAAAUGGCCAUGGCGAAUCCACAACCGCCACCGCAUACGUCGGUCCAAGAAUGGUCAAUGGAAUCCGGAAUCGGCACAAGAACCGGCGAUACAAGCGGAGCUCGUUGCGGUAACGGUCCAGGUAAAUAUCCCCACAUGAAAAGCACACUCUCUCUAUUAACUACCUCCAUUUUUGUUCGGAGAGUUGAAAAUGAGUGGUUCUUUUAGUAAAUAUUGUAGGAAUCUAACGGUAAUUUAAAAGGAAUUAGGGUUUCAUUUGAAAAAACCAAGUACAGAAGAAGUUUUGAGCCCUAAGAAAAAAGAGAACAGAUUUGAGAAGAAAGGAAAAAGAAAUUGAAAAGAGAUAAAAUAAAUGGGGAAAAAGUGUGAAUUUUUUUUUUGGGGAGUGCAAAAAUAUAAGAAUUCAAAUUGAUGAAAAAAUAUAAAUAUUGAAAAUUAAAAUUUACCAUGAUCAACUCUUUUAGAAAUUAAGUUGAUAGAUGGGUAUGGCAUGGUCUAGUAUUGUUGAAAGGAUUUCUUUUUCAAUAUGAAAUUUUAAUCAUGGUUUAAAUGUAUAUUUGAAAUUUUAAUUUUAAUUUAAUCAUACAUAUUUUAAAAAAUAAAUAUAUUAAUUUAUUUUUAUAUUGAAUAAAUAUAAAUAUUUAUGUAUGCAAUAUAUAAAUAUAAAAUGAUGUUAUAUCAAUAAUUGUGUUAAUAAUUUACAAGAACUGAAUCAAAUUAAAUUUCAUAUAUACAAUUGCACAGUAAACCAUUGUUCAUGUAUGCUUUUGGGAUUUAUCCCAUUUUAAUAUUUUAUUUUUUAAAAAAUAAUAAUUUAUAUUUAUCUUAUUUAUGAUUAAAAUUUUUAAAUAUAUAUAAUAUAAAAUUUUGAAAUAUUUAUAUUAAAAAAACUCUAAAAUCAUAAACCCCAAACCUAUAAACACAAAACCUAAAAUCCAAACUCACAAACACAAAACCGUAAAAUCUUAAAUUAUAAACUAUAAUCCCUAAACCUUAAACACUAAACCUUAAACCAUAAACUAAAUUAAUUUUUUGCGGCAUUUUUAUUAAAAACCUUAUUCACACUCGAAGCUAUUAAGUCAUUUUUAAUUUGAAUAUAUAUAAUUAUUCACACUCAUGAUGUAAAAUUUUAAGAAUAUUCAUAUUUUAAAUCCAAACAUAUUAGUUUAAGAUAUUAAUACCAUAAUUUUUUAUUUAAUAUAAAUUAAUUUAUUAGAAAAGUGAUAAGUGGUACAUUGGGAGUUAGUACAUAAGAGUUCUUCUUUUCAUAUGGCAACACUUUUAUAUAGUUGGGAAAGCUAUAACACAAGUCGGCAUAGUGUUCACAAAGUCGAAUCUUAUUUAAGUGUUGCCUUAGGCAUGUAUAUACCAAUUCUUAUCCAAAGAGUUGGCCAAAACGUAUGCCGACAAGUCUAUCCCAACACUUAGCAAAGUGUCGGCAUAGUGUUAAACAAAGCCGACUCUUAAUUAAGCGUUGUCUUAGGCAUGCAUAUCCUACCUCUUAUACAAAGGGUUGGCAAAAGUGUGUAUCAACAAGUCUAUCCCAACACUUAGGAAAGUGUCGGCCUAAAAGUGUCGGCAUAGUGUUGGACAAAGCCGACUUUUAUUUAAGCGUUGCCUUAGACAUGCAUAUCCCAACUCUUAUAUAAAGAGUUGGCCAAAGUGUAUAUCGACAAAUCUAUCCCAACACUUAGGAAAGUGUUAGCCCAAAAGUGUCGGCAUAGUGUUAGAAAAAGUCGACUCUUAUUUAAGCAUUGCCUUAGGCAUGCAUAUCCCAACUCUUAUACAAAGUGUUGGCCAAAGUGUAUGUCGACAAGUUUAUCCUAACACUUAAGAAAGUGUCGUAAUAGGCCUGUUUUGUGACAACCCUAAAUUGACCCUAGUCGGAAAGUGGUUUCGGGACCACGAAAUUGAGUCUUAUAAAUAAUUAAAGGUUAUAUUCUGUGUUUAUGAUGUGCGUAAAUGCUUGUGUGAUAGCUCCAUACUUUAAUUUGGUCAGUGUAUGUGAAAUUUAUUAGUAGGGACUUAUGUGAGACAAUUUAGAAAUAUGCUAGGCAAGUGUUAAAGUGGCCUAUUAAUAUAUGUGGGAAAGUGCUUGUCCUUGCAUGUCAAAUUAGCCAAACUAUAGGUAGUGGCCGGCCAUGCUACAAAUUAUAUAAUCAAGUGUGAAUUUUAUAUUAACUUUAAUUAGCUAGGUGCCAUGUUAGUAUGGAGGAUGUAAUAAAAUAAAGAAAUGAUAAUUAAAGGAAGGGAUGGGUGAAAGAAAAAAAAAGGGAAAAAAGAGGUCAUCAUCCAUGUUUCUUCCUAGCCGAUUCUAAAGAGAAAAAAAAAGAGAGAGCAAGAGCAUUCGGUGAUGAAAACAAGUUGUGUUCUUUGGUUCUUCUUGGCCGAAUUGAAAGGAGGAAGAAAGGAGUGAAGCAAUCGGUCAUCUUAGGUCAAUAAUAAGGUAAGGAAGUUGAUACUAGUUCUUGAAAUCCUAGUUGAUAUUGAGUGAGAUAUCAAGUUAUUGUUGGUAACCCAUGUUGAAAUUGUGAUUUUGGAAUAAGUAAGGUUUUCGGCUAUGGAGAUUAAUAAGGGUGAUGGUUGUGUUUCAUGCUAAAUCUAGAUGAACAAUGGUAGUUUGUUUACAACUUGAUAUUUAUGAGUUCCUUUCUUGGUUCUACCUUAGAUCCAUAAGUAUGAUUUAUGCUUGUUAUGUUACUCAUGGUUAAAAUGAUUCGGCUAUGGUUCAUGUAAAAAAAUAAAAUAUACAUGUGAAUUUGGUUAUACAUGAUUUGGUAUUAAAUGAUAUUAGGUUAUAUUCGAACAUAGGAAGAGUUUAUUUUGAUAUGCUUAUUACAUGGUAGGUAAGAUUUGUGUUUUGGAUAUAUGCUUAUAUUUGGUUAAUGAUUUAUUCUUGUGAAGUAUAAAUUUGUAACAUGAAUUGAGUUGGAAGUUAUUAUAAUGUACUUGUGCAUUCGGGUAUAUGAUGAAAAUAUAUGAGGUGGUUAUAAUCAACUUUGUGAUUCGGCUCUUGCACAUGUAUAUAUAUUUUCACAUGAUGUACUGGUAUGACAUUAUAUAUUAUCUCAAGGUAUAUAUUUAUAUAUGGUGGUGUUUCAGUUAUGGAGUAAAUGAUGGAUACGUAUUGAGUUAUAAUAUGUAAUGCAUUAGUUAGUAAAAUGUAUGUCAUUUAUAUGUGGUAUUAAGUAUAUAAUUGGCCUCAACAUAGACAUGCAUAUUCGGCCACAUGAGAUGGAUGGGUGAUGCAUGUAUUCGAUUAGAGGCAAGCAUAUUAAUGCUUUUAUCUUGGCUUAGAUAAUCGGCUAAAAGAGAGUGUGGGCGAAAAUGUUGAGUUUGAUUCAUGAUUACAUAUAUAUGUGACUCUAAUGUCUAAUGUAUAUAUGGGUUAAGUACCUUGAGUUUCUCUUUUCGAUGCUCAAAUGAUUAAAUCAAUUUAUUUGUUAAAUUAAGCUCAAGAGCAAAGGGGAACUAAAUCCGAUAAAGGAAAGGAAAAAGUGGUCGAAUAGCCAUCGAAAUCGUUUGACAACAUCCGAGGUAAGUUUUCGAGUAACGAGACUUAGUUUACAAUUUGAUUAAGUCAUGACGUAUGAGCAUAACAAAUAUCCGGUGAUAUGAUGAUUCUACUUGAAUUAUAUGUUAAGUUAAUUAGUCUAUAUGUAUGACGGGUAGCCGUAUGUGCAUAGAGAUCGUGUCAUAAAGCAAACUAAACCAUGCUGUUUGUAUGUGUCAAAGUGUCUCGUCUAAACCAUGAUUUAGGCCGAUCUAGAGACACUUCGGGCUUUUCU